rnacentral:lncRNA from 1 species
CCUGAGGUCAGGAGUUUGAGACCAGCCUGGCCAACAUGCUGAAUGAACUGGGAUUUCUUGGAGAAGUGGUAGAGCCAAGCUCUGGAACCGGAAAUACGCAAGGGAUCUCCAGCUCCAUGAAUGGUAUCUCCAUCUCUUCAGGUGACUGAGUUGGAAAUCUUGGCUUCACUCCACCAAUGACCUGAGUCAUUCUUAGAAAGUCUGAAGAAGGAGCAUGCAGCUCUGAGGGUGGCAGCAGGUCCAGGAAUUGGAAUGUGACCACAGGGGAAUUCUUCAUAAAGGGCUGAACUUUACUGGAUGAGUUUCCCCUG